CGGCAACAGCUCAAAUUUGAAAUCUGGCCCUUGGGUCCGAGUUGUAAUUUGUAGAGGAUGUUUCUGGCGCGGUGCCUUCCGAGUUCCCUGGAACGGGACGCCAUAGAGGGUGAGAGCCCCGUCUGGUUGGAUGCCUAGCCUCUGUGAAACUCCUUCGAC
rnacentral:rRNA from 1 species